GCCCCCGCCGGCCUGGGAGCGCGUGUGCGGCUCCCGAAUGCCCGGGGAGGCGGCGGUGGGAAAUGUGGAGGAGUCUCUCCGAUGUGGAGAAGUCUCUCCGCUCCACCACGGGCCUGCUGGGGCACGGCGGCGUGGCGAGGGCGGCGGGCAUCCGGCGUGAGGCGACCCAGCCUGGCUGCCCAGAGUGGCCGCUACUGCCUGAGGAGGGCUCAGGCGGCCUUCCCGCGGCCGCUCCUGUCACCCAUCCUCUCCUGGGUCACAGAAUCACUGAAUAGGUCGAGUUGGAAGUGACCACAGUGGCGCAUCUGGUCCAACCUCCCUGCUCAAACAGGGUCAUCCCAGAGCACAUGGCAUAGGAUUCUAUCCAGCCAAUUCUGGAAUGUCUUCAGGUGGGGCAGUCUGUCCCAAUGCAUGAUCACUCACACAAUAAAGAAAUUCUUCCUCACAUUUAAGUGGAGCUGCUGUGUAUCGGUUCCUCUUGCCUCUUGUCCUGUUGCUUGGCAUCGCCAGGAAGAGCCUGGAUCCAUCUUGUUGACACCCUCCCUUGAGAUACACACUGAUGAGCCCCCCUCAGUCAUCUCAGUCAUCUGAGCAGGCCCGCCCCUCAGCCUUUCCUCAUGGAAGACAUGCUCCAGACCCUUGAACCAGCUCUAGCUCUCCACUGGGCCGGCCCCAGGAGCUCCCUUGCACUGUGGAGCCCAGAAGUGGACACAGCACUCUGGGUGCCGCUGGCACCUGCACAGCGGGGUCGGUGGUGCUGCCUGGGGUCAGAGCCCCGGCUGUCUGCGUGCUCAGGCAGGCUCUCUCACAGAAUGAAGAUGAUUAAAGAGGAUGAAGAAUCAAGGUGUUUGUGAUGAAUUAAACAUUGAAUAUGUAAGGAAAACAAACAAACAAGCAAACAAAAAAGCUGGAGUGAAUGACUGUCUCUCCAGAUAAAAAGAGGCUCACGAGUCAGCCCGUGUGUGGGUCCAGCACAGCACCCCUGUCCCUGUCAGGCAGAGGAUCUUCCUCCAGGAACAACCCACACAGAGAAG